rnacentral:rRNA from 1 species
UCCGGUGGCGAUAGCGAGGGGGAAACACCCGAUCCCAUUCCGAACUCGGAAGUUAAGUCCUUCAGCGCCAAUGAUACUGCACCUCAAGGUGUGGGAAAGUAGGACACUGCCGGGA